UGGUGAGUGAACUGAGAAGGUAAAAGGUCGGUGGCUUAACAAUGUGCAAGUUGAACAUGAACUUCCUGUUUCUUUCAAUAUUUAUGCAGUGGACUGAUGGGCCCGGCCGGUCAUCUGUUUAAUCAUUUCACAGGUAUUUAUGGAGCACCUGCUAUGGUUCUGACACCAAGGAAUUAAGGCUACAGGGUAAGCAGAAGCAGAUGUGUCAGCCUGAGCCUUCUGUCCAAGGGCUCUGCUGAGGACUGUCUGAUCCUCUCUCUCAGUUGAGAGGAAAGGAAAAGUGGCUGUGAUCUCAGCAGAGGGCAAGGAUCCUGCAACAUCUACAAGAUGCUACGGAACCCAGAGGAGAGAUUCCUUCUUGCCAAGGUUAGAGACGGUUUUGUGGUUGUAGUGCUGGACUCGCAAGCCUGCAUAUGAUUCUAGAACUUUAGAAAGGGCGUGGGCAGAGGCUGCAGGUCCUCGGGAAGAAGACAUUCUCGAAGGGUGAAGCAAAACACCCCUAGAUUCAGAGGACGACAUUUGCCUUGGAAGAGGAAGCAGCUGUGGAUGAUGUGGAUCUGAGGGACCCAACCUCAAAGAAGCAGUAUUUUCAUGGGGUCGACUGACCAUCGUGCGAGGGGAAAAGAUACUUUUUAUCGCACAGCUGAAAGAAGUAACUAUGAAAGGCAGCCAGCUGAGUUGCAAAACUGCAUUUCCGAGUGGCUCCAACACUGGGUCGCAGGGACUGCUGUGCCCCUGACGGCCUGCAGGAGGCGCGGUCACAGGAGGGACCUUUGCUCUCAGAAUGGAAGGAUUUUUUUUUUUUUUCAAUUAAGAAGCUCAUGACUGUUCAAGUGUUGACUACUAUUGGCUUCUCUCCUCCUGUCAGGGUUUAUAGGCACAGGGCCGGACCAGAUUGAAGAACACCAUUCUUCAUUCAAUUCCUUUUCCACUUUAGAACUUCACAAACUGACCGAACCACGGCCCCUCUUCCAGAGACCCACGGGAUUCUGCUUUCCACUGACCUCAUCCAGCAAGGUUUUCACUCUGGCAUGUCUAGGUUCUCCAGUGUUUCCUUCACACUGCCACUAAGUGACCUCCCAGGGGUCACAGAACCCUGCUGGCCACUCCAAAUGGGUCACCCUGUUCAAACCCAAGAAGACUCGACAAGCUAAGGAUGCUGUUUCCUUUUGCGCAGGGGCAAAGGGACUCAGCACACUGCCUCAUACUGUCUGGAACUUCUCUUUCCACUCAUCUGUGAGUCUGUGCAGUGGAGACUACAUUUUAUUUCUUGCAGUGCCUGGUAUGCAGCCGAGGCUCAACAAAUAUCUUAUUAGAAUAUUUAUAAUCAUUGCAAUGAAUGUUUUUGCUAUACUUUUCAAUGAAAUGUCUCCAAAUGUUGUCAAUUUAUGAAGAACAUAUCUUAGGCUUCUGAGCUGCAGCUAUGCUACAUGUUUUCCUGUGGAAAAAAUACAUGCAUUUAUGAUGAAAGUGAAGUCCGUGCAGAGAUACUUCACUCCAAGUGUAGAGAUACCUGGCUAUUAGGCUGCUUACUCCUCAUUUUGUUUAGAAAAGGGAAAAAAACCCACACCUCAGCACAAACAAUACAUUUGUACAAUACUGACGGAAAAAUACUUUGAAAACUAGGGAAAGAGUGGAGGAUUCAUUUAACUUUUUUUCUUAGCACCAAUUCCUAUACCCAUUGAAAUUUAUACUAGUCUAAACAAUGAAAAUAAGAGAUUUUUUAAAAAAAGGAAACAGUGCUAGGUUUAAAAAUUUCCCCUGUGGAAACUGGACCCGUGGCUUUUUCUCUGAGUCAGGCCAAUGUUGGUUCCAGUGCCUGGCUCACAAGAGUCACAGAAUUUGACUAUUUUCUCUCUAUUUAAAUGGUGCCUGGAUUUCACAACCUUCUGCUCUCUGAGGUGCUGCCAUGAACACAAUUAGUUCCCAAAAAAGCGUGUCAGGCAGUCGGACUGGGGAGAAACUCAUGCAGAAAUACCCACAUAAAAUGUGGGAGCGCAUUACAUCCAGGUCAUUUUUUUGUAAAAAAACCCCUUGCUUAGCAUUUAAUGUCACAAAGAGCACAACCUGGUGGCCCCACACAGAAUCCAACUGGAGAAACGGAUUAGCUGAAGAAAUGCCUUAAAAGUUGGAACCAGUAAAUCAUUUCCCCUUUCUCCUUAUUUCUCAGAGACCUGCUCUCAGGGCAAUUUAAAGUAAUCAUGCAGUUAAAGCCCAGGGGAUGCACUAUUCCUCUAUUUUCACUUUAUGUUCCUUCAAAACUUAGACUCUGCUCCCCACCCCUGUUUCGGAACUCUCUGAAUUUUCCCAAGUAGAAGCCAUGCUGUUUUUAUCCUCUCAGGAGUUUCCAGACCAUUCUCUCUGCAGACAUGUUAGAGUGGAGGAAGACAGGCCGGCCCGUCUGCAGGGAUGAGCGCCUGCUCCAGUCACUGCCCUUCUGGGCGGCUCAUUCUAACAUGGCACCUGGGACUCCUGUGCUCCCUGAGAGCCUGCAGGAGUCACUGGUCCCAGGGCAUUUUGGAGGCACUCGGAAGAGAAGAAUUUUAUGAUUUUAUUCUAGAAGGCUCAGAGAAAGUCCCUCACGAUGCAAAAUCCAACAUGUAAAAAAGAGAAAAAAAUAAUUUAAAAAAUGGAAACAGUUCUCUUAAGGCAUCACCACCCUCAAGCCUUGCCUGUAAGUUUCGUUUUUGUUGUCAGUGACAUUGGGGCUUUGGUUAAUUUCACUGCUCCUGGAAGAAAUCCAUGGCCUUUGAAAGGCACAGGAGCCAGAGGGAUGGACUUCGAGCAGCCACAGUAGCAAGGAAGAUUGGUUGGUCUCGCAAGUUUCAGGAUGGAACUGCAAAACUCGAUGGCAUCUGGCUUGGUUUCGUACAUUGGGGUGUGUGGGAAAAUGUGCUCUCCGAAUGGUUUCCAUCAAAGUGGAGCUGAAAGGAGGACAGCAAAGCCAGCGGGGGUCUGCAGUGCUAACCCACGUGCUCGCGCUGGUGCGCACCCACUGUUCACACCCACGCCCUGUUUUCUUGCCAUCAUCUACUGGCCGGGGCGCGGGGGGGGGGAUGAUGGGAAAUAUUCUGAGAAAAGCACGCUGCGUUUCUUAAUAAAAAGAAAUUGUAUUGCCAAGGGAAACAAGUUUUACAAGUGAUUUUGAAUCUGGAAACUUACCCAAUUCCCAGCUGAUCAGGUAGCUACAAUUGUAGGAAGGACACAUCGCUAACGCAGUAUUUGAACAUUUCACCGGGCUCAGAGAAAUUUAGCAUCGCUGUCAGAGCAACUUGACUAGAAGCUCACCUUGCUCUUCUUUAUUCGAGAUAAGAGAGCCGUCUUCUUAAUUUACUGGAUUUUACUAUUUGUAUACUUUUUAACUUUCUGCUUAAUGCAGUGUUCUAGUAAACUUGCUGUUGUGUCAGUUUUUUGAGGAACCAGUCAGAUGUGUCAUCUGAUUGAAUUUACAACAAAGACUUAAGAUGGUUGUCCUAUGCCAGUGCGAGUUCUCCCCUGGUUAUGUCAUAUUUUUGGAUAAGAGCAGACAUCAGAAUAGAUAUUUUUGACCUGAGUGUCCAUAUUAAAAGGAAGGACACAGUGGCAAGUAUGCUAUUUUUCCAAAGCUUUAAAUUUUAGUAGAGAUAGUAAACAGACUUUAUGAUUACAAAUGUGUUUCUCUGGUUUUCUUUAUCUAAUCAUUUUAGCAAAUUUAAAUACUUUUCUCUUAAUGUUGGAAUAUGGAAAUCUAUUUUCUUGCUUCUUUACCUCACAUGGUAAAAGAUAUUUCAGUCCUACUUUUAAAUAAACAGCUGUAUUAGUGAUAUGUGUGUAGUUAUCUUUAAAAUUAAAGACAAGUUGGUGUUGAUUUAUUACCUCCUUUUCAGAGCAGUUUUCCAGCUGGAAGGUGAUACUCCAAGGUAAGGUUCAGAACAAUGGAGCCUGUGUGAGUGAGGUCUGCAUAAUUAAAAUUCUAAGUAACUGGGACACAAGUUAGCCAGAUGCAAAUAGUAUUCCUUGUCAAAAAUACACAUAUUUUGAAAUUAUUGUGUAUUUAAGUGACUUGUGUUGCCUAGAGCAUUGAGAUUAUCCUAAGAAAUCUUUUAUGACAAAGUAUUUAUUGUCAGUCUUGUAAAUGGUUCUUUAAAUGCCUAAAACCAAUGCCUAUUUGACUUACAAAAUCUGCAGCAAUUCUGCUAGUAAAUUUCAGCAUUUGGUCUUCCCACCUAGAAGCUUUUUCAGCCCCUUCCAUUAUAUCUGACUGGUCCAUCUCACAUAAACAGCUUCCUCAGCAGGAAAAUUCCAACAGAAACCAAGAGGUUGAGUCUACUGGAGCCAUCAAGAAUUCCUCUCUUUAUUGUUGUUGAUGUUUCUCUUUUUAUAAAGGCCUUCCCCUGAAUUCUUUUGUUAUUAUUAACAUGAACCAGAUUCUAGUUUCAGGCAGCAAACCAAUACCCCACCCCCAAUACUCAAUACUCAAAAAUCAAUUGUUGAUUUUUAGUCACCCAUAAAAUAAAUUAGUUUUUACCCCUCAAGUGAUUCAAUUCAGGAUAGCUUAACAAAAAAGCAAGCUUCUCUUCAGUAACAGCAUAGCAGUACAAUUGACAGUGAGGUGCUUUGGCAUAUUGGAUUUCUUUUCCAGUUGGUGAGGGAUCCUUUUCCUCUUUCCCUCAUUUCUGAACUGCAGAAGAGGAAUUAUUAAAGCAUUCACCCGAGACACUGCUGUCAUAGGCAAGGGUGUGGACUAGGGUCCCGAUCCCCUUAGAUCAGAGCCUCAGGAAUAUCUUCUCCUGCCCUGGGGUCGCUGUGGAAACCGGACAGAAGAGAGAGACUUGGGGAAUCCUACCUCUGGCUCCUUCCCCACCCCUCCCAUGAAACGUUAAACCACACACUGAUGUGAUGAUUUGAGGUGUUUCAUUGUCACCAUGCUACAUUCUUGAGUUUGUUUUUCCUUUAAGUGAUCGGUAAGGCCAGGGAGGGCCUUACUCCUGAUUAAUGAUGAUCAUCCUCCACUAUCUGGAUACAGUAGCGUGGCAUGAGUUUUUGAUAAGGAAAAUUAGGCUCUGAGAGACAUUUCUCACCAGAAACUUUCAACAUAUGAAAAUGCAUUUAAAAGUUACUUCUGGGAAAUAUACUAAAUAGGCCAGUCAUUUAAUCGCUAGCUAACUGUCAAAGCCUAUAAAAUCAUGGUAUCAAGUCACCCUGAUGUAAAGCAACAUAAAAAUUAG
ensembl:lncRNA